rnacentral:rRNA from 1 species
UACGUAGGUGGCGAGCGUUGUCCGGAAUUACUGGGUGUAAAGGGCGUGUAGGCGGGUCGGCAAGUCAGAUGUGAAACCCCACGGCUUAACUGUGGGACUGCAUCUGAAACUGCUGAUCUUGAGUGCUGGAGAGGAAAGCGGAAUUCCCAGUGUAGCGGUGAAAUGCGUAGAGAUUGGGAGGAACACCAGUGGCGAAGGCGGCUUUCUGGACAGUAACUGACGCUGAGGCGCGAAAGCGUGGGGAGCAAACAGGAUUAGAUACCCUGGUAGUCCACGCCGUAAACGAUGGAUACUAGGUGUAGGAGGUAUCGACCCCUUCUGUGCCGCAGUUAACACAAUAAGUAUCCCACCUGGGGAGUACGGCCGCAAGGUUGAA